rnacentral:rRNA from 1 species
UACGAAGGGGGCUAGCGUUGCUCGGAAUCACUGGGCGUAAAGCGCACGUAGGCGGGUUGUUAAGUCAGGGGUGAAAUCCUGGAGCUCAACUCCAGAACUGCCUUUGAUACUGGCAACCUAGAGGCUGGAAGAGGUUAGUGGAAUUCCCAGUGUAGAGGUGAAAUUCGUAGAUAUUGGGAAGGACACCAGUGGCGAAGGCGGCUAACUGGUCCAGAUCUGACGCUGAGGUGCGAAAGCGUGGGGAGCAAACAGG